GAAAAUUACCUAAGCAAAAAGUAAAUCCUUGCUAUCUAGCUACGCGACCCCUUCGCUGAGAUCCCGUGCCUCCACCGGUGCUGAAGGCUCUGAAAGAAAACUAUAAAACAGAGGGCGUAAGAACUAUUAAAUAAUAGUUUCCAGUGGGCAAUUACUGACUUCAGUACAAUGCGCCACUAGGCCCAAAAACUAAGCAGGUAAGUAAGAAUAAACAAGCAAUAUGAAUGACAAGUAUUUAAAUAUGAAUACUUACUAAACCAGGAUAUCUCUACUUAGCAUGAAUUUACAUAAGUAAUAAAGCUGCUGUAAUAUGAAUGUCCAAGGUUACAACUAACAUAAUGUCCACAAGCUAAAUAGUAAAAUGUCAUUGUUUACUAUUCUAGUCAAUUUUCGCUUGGUAUACUAAGUCACCAAUGUUCCAAUCCUGUAGGACCUACCCGUGGGUUGUCCGGCCUGCACCGUGCCUAAUGGCCCCGUGGUAGUCAACAUCUCCACUCUAGGAAUGAGCCUCCCCUACGGCAUCCCAUUUCGGCGCCCAAUCCCGCACGGGCGAGCAUGUGUCGCAAUGGCUAUCUCCGGAUUGCCGGCUUGUGGGGAGCGACCCUCACAAGCAUAUGCGAAUGAGCACAAUGGCAAGCAAGUGUAAAAGUCCUCUCAAGUCCUAAGUCAUCAUGUCUAAAACAUAGAAUGUAGCAAAUCUCUCAAUGGCCUAUCACUAUGUCAUCAUAUCUAAAACAUGGAAUGUAGUCGAUGUCACAAUGGCCUAUCAAAAUGUCACUAUGUUGCAGUUCAACUGUUUACUAGUUUGGGUGCCUCUUUAUGGCACUUUUGUCCAAUGUGUUUAAACAUGAGUUUUGUGUCCCAGAACACUUAAUUCUAACCAUUUCCAACACAUGAGACAUAUUCCAAUUUACAAAAUAGAAUACUAAUCAUGUGCAUGAGUAAUACACUUAGCCCUCAACUACAUAGAGUCAAUUUUUCAUAAAACAUAACGCAUACAUUUUAAAUAUUCUAAAAUUCAUAAAAAUUCUAUCAAGCAUGAAUAUGCAGACAUUUCGAUAAAACAACAACUUUUAACCACUUAGGAGAAGAUUUCUCCUGUUCCAAUGAAGCCAAACCCACCGUGACUUCCCGAAACCCUUCGUUUGUGCCGACGAAGGUGCCCACUACUCUCCUAGUACCUAAAGAUAACAAAAGGAGGCAUACACGAACGUUACGAACAAUCAAUUGCUCAAACAUUAAGCAACUCAAGCAAAGGUGAAGGAAACUCACCGAAUGCGAAGAAACCUAUCACGAUCUCCAAAUGGGAGUUAGAGGCCCUCAAAUCCAACAUAAACAAAAGUUCUAAUAAGAUCAAUUGGGCUCCAAAACCCUCAAAUCCAAAAUCCCCAUUACUAACCCUAUUAUGCUCAAUCUAGGGUUUCAUUUAGUCAAAGCUACUAAAACAUGAAUCAAAAAGUAGAUUAGGCUUACUAACCUCACAAGAGCUCCAAAACAAGACUCCACGUAAGCUAGGGUUGAAGAUCCUCCCUCCACAAAGCUCCAAUCACGAGCUCAAGGCUUCUCCCAUGGUGAAAACUAAUAAGAAGCAAGAAGAGGCAAAAAUGAGGAGAUCAAAACUAGCUAAAACCAUCAAAAAUGGAGAAGGAAUCAAAGGGAAGGAGGCUCACCUUGUUCUCCACUGGUUAAGGCUCAAAAGAGCUCUCAAAGGGGGCUGGGGUGGGUUAUAUAGAGUUUGCAACAAUUGCAAAUACACCCCUCCACAAAAAUAGCUCGUUCUGCAUUGUGUACCGGUACACAGGAAAGUGUACCGGUACAAACCCUGCGAGACAGCAAACCCGAGCCUCGGGUUGGCCAUUCACCACAUUUGUACCGGUACAACCAUCAAGGUGUACCGGUACACUUUCUGUACCGGUACAACCAUCAAGGUUGUACCGGUACACAACCCUGCUGAGGCAACCCGAGAGCAGACCCAAAAAUCUAAUCUUUUGGAUUUUGAUACUAAGUUUUAAAUCUCAAUUCUCGAGAUGCGUGCCAUGGGUCGGAACUCUGUCUACGACCCUCUAGAAUAUCUGGAAAAGCUCGGAACAUAGAUCAAACACUCGAAUCUCGCAAUUUGCAAAGUUCGAGUGUGUUACAUCAUCACUCCAAAAUGCAUCUCACAACCUAUACAUCAUCUACUCUCAUAUAUGUAGGUAUCCCUAAUGCAGUAGGAGAGCUACUAAUGCUAGAGCGCUAAGCCCUUACCGCGAUCCUCGCCCAGAGCGCUCGUACUCGGCCCUGCAACAAAGUGGGGUGAGAACUAUUGUCCAUAGUUUCCAGUAGGUUCGGCCGCCGACUCCGCCGAUCUCCCCACUAGGUCCAAGUGGGCACAAGUAGAUAGAUAGAUAGAUAGAUAUGUGAAAAUAGUAACGACAUAGUAAGAAAGCUAUACUAUUAUGCCCAAAUCAUAUAUAAUGUAUGCAUGCACAAUGUGAUAGGUAAUCAGCUAACAUGCCACUAUGUCGAAGAAGUAAUGCUAUUUACUUGUUCAUCAAAUCUCUUGGCUUACCCAAAGGCUCGCCCACGACUCACAUAGCCAUCUCAUAAGGUAAGGAGACUCAACUUGCUAAACAAACUCGAGACCGCCUGCGGGACCCAAAAGGCUAUCCCCGGGACCCAAAAAGGCUAUCCCUCGUGUGACAAACUCCGGAGCGCACGCUUGUGUGGAGCGACCACUACAAGCUCAACAGACAGUGAGUAUGAUCCAAUCCUCUCCACUCGAGGAUACCCUAUCCACUAGGGCUAACAGUCACUCGGGAAUCCACCUAUCCCAGUGUCCAUAUGCAAGUGUUUAACUACACUAAGUUCUUGUUCAAUGACUCAUCGCUAGGGAAUCCGCCUAUCCCUAAGUUCAUAUGUCAAGUGUCACUUUACACUAAGUUGUAUGCCACUCAUUCUGUUGUCAUUGUUAUUUACAUGCCACUCAUUAUGUCUUUAUCAACCAUCGAGUCCAUCUCUUAUCUCAGCACUAUAGGAUUCAAUGCCUCAACCCAAUCCUUAUCUAUCCACUAUAUCAAGCAUUCCACUCAUACUACGAUAUCAUCUAGGAAAGCAUAAGGAAAUGGAAAUGCACAAUUAUCCUACAAUGCAUACAUGUGAGAGAUGCAAGAUUACAAUGCACUAAGACAUAAAGAGGAGCCCGGUUGCUUCGGGAUGACACCACCCACCUUCUGGCGUUGUCACGACUCUAGGAAUGCGAUUCGGCGAUUUUAUGACGUCGUCUCGGCCUUCCAGGCGGAAACGAAGCUCAGAAGGUCCUUUUCGCCAAUAACUUUGCACCCGCUCGAUGGAUUGCCGAAUCGUCUUCGCCAACGCAUCAGAAAGCCUAUCAAUUAGGAUAAUACAUGAUCAAUUUAGAUCAAACCCUACCACAAGGCAAAACCCCAUUUUGGAGCCCUAACUUGCAAUCAUGCAAGAAUCAAACUCUAAAUCACCAAACUCAAGUACUAAGCAUCUAUCUAGCAUGCUAGAGUUCCAACCAAACCAUUUCUAGAGUAUAAAAUGUAAACCAUAGAGAUCUACCAUGGUUGAGCUUCAAGCUUACCUCCAAAAGCUAGCUUCAAUAGUGAAGAGGAAGAAGAAGAUGAUGAAGAAUCUUCUCCUAGCUUGCUUCUCCUCCAACUCCUCCUCUUUUCCCACCUUCUAGAGAGAGAGAAAGGGCUUAGAGAGAGAGAGGGAGAGUUUUAGGUUUAGAGUUGAGGGAGAGUGAAAGAGAGAGUUCACAACACCCCUCACUCAAAUCCCCAAGGUCACAAUUGCGUAAAACCCCCUCAACUUUGUAACUCAUGCACAACCCAGCCUAGGCAACUUCGAGCUACGGGCACCGGUCUGUCCCUAGAGGGACCGGUCCCCGAGAGCAAUCUAUGCGCAAAAUGGCCUUUGCUCCAUUUCUGCGUGUACGGGUACCGGUCCCUCCCACCAGGGACCGGUCCCCGAGAGCACAAUUCCAUGCGCAGAGCUUUUCUACUAUUACCCACGCGUAUGGGUACCGGUUCCUCCCACCAGGGACCGGUCCCUGAGAGCAAAAUUUGCAAUUGUGCAGAUUUGCACAACUUGCUCUCUCAGGCUGUCUACAAUGCACCUUUUGCAUUUUCGACGCCUUCGGCCGUUCCGAAGCGUUCCCAACCGACAAUCAGUCGAUUCUAAACGAAGUUCAACUCUUAUAUUUCGAGAAUUCACUUCCUUACAUUAGUACCUUAGAUCUUCUCUUUAGAUCUUAUUAUGGUAAAGUUUUUUUAGAUGAAACCCUAGAAAUGAGAAUCUAGGAUUUUAUUUGGGUAUUUUUGAUUGGAAACUUUUGGAGCUCAAUUGAUUGGUUUAGAACCUUUGUUUAGGUUGGAUUUGAAGGGACCUAGCUCACAUUUGGGAUUUGUGAGGGUUUUUCUACACUAUAGGUGAGUUUUAACCCUUUUCUUGGGUUGGUAAAUGUUGAACACAUGGAGUGUUCAUUCGUCUUGUCUAACCCUCCUAGGAUUUUCUUUAGGGAGCUAGGAAACAUGUGGGCACCUUCGUCGGUGCAAACGACAGGAAUUUGAGGAGUCUUGGUGGGUUUGACCUCACCGAAAUGAGAAAAAUUUCACUUAUGUCAUUUUAAUAGUUGUAAAAUAGAAAAUCAUGCGUAUUCAUGCUAGAUAGAGCAUAUGUGAAUUUUAGAAUGUUUAAAAUAUAUGUGUUAUGUUUUAUAAAAAAUUACCUCUAUAUAGUAGAGAGAGUUAUGUGUGUUGUUAGCAUGCAUGAGAAUAGCAUCUAUUAUAUGGUUUGGAGUCAUAUUUCUUGCAAUGGAAAUGACUAGAAUGACAUGCUCUUCGAGAUAAAACUUAUGCUUGACAUAGUGGACUUUAAAUGUCAUGAAAUGGCAUUCAACUUAGCAAAUGAUUAAACUUGUAUUUAACGACAUAGUGAUAGGCCAUUGGGAUGUUAGCCUAUAUACCAUGUUUUAGACAUGAUGACAUUAGACUAGAGACGGAUGAUUACGCUUGCUUGCCAUUGUGCUCAUUCGCACAUGCUUGUGAGGGUCGCUCCCCACAAUGCUGCACUUCGGAGAUAGUCAUCGCGACAUAUGCUCGCCCGUGCGGGAUUUGACGCCGAAAUGGGAUGCUGUGGGGGAGGCUCAUUCCUAGAGUGGGAAUGUUGACUACCACGGGCCAUUAGGCAUGGCACAAGUCGGACUACCCACGGGUAGGUCCUAUAUGAACAGAACAUUAUGGAACUAAAAUGCAAAGUGGACAUUAGACAAAUUAAUAAAUAAUGACAUUUUACUAGUUGUACUUGUGGACAUCCUGUUGGUUAUACUUAUGCAUAUUCAUAUUAGAAUAGCAUUUAUAUUUGUGAAAAUUCAUGCUAAAGUAGAGGCAUAGUAGUUAAUGAGUUUAAUUCAUGUUUUAUAUACAUAUUGUUCUUUCCAUUUAAAAGUUGAACAUACUAUUUUUGACUUGUUAGCCUAGUGGUGCAUUUCACUGAGGUCAGUAAUUACCCACUGGGAACUAUUGAUUAAUAGUUUUCACGCCCCCUAUUUUGUUGUUUUCUUACAGAGCCUUCCACCCCGGGAGAGGCUCGAGAUCACGGUAAAAGGAUAGCUACUAGCUAGAUAGCAAUGAGUACUUGAUCUAGAUAGUUCAUCUCUCUAUUUUUGUAUCUAUGUAGAGAGCACGAGUUUUUGUAUCCAUGUAUAAAGACCACCAUUUUUGUACCUCUAGCACUUGUAUUUUGGAUUAUACGAUGUACUACUUCAUGGUUUUAUUAAUGGAUUAGUUCCUUUAUUUACCUCCUUAUUCUAUAAUCUAGUUGUUGUACGCUCUGAUACUCCUAAAUGCUCAUUUAUUAUUGCUUUAUUUAUCGCCUUGUGAAAGUUUUGGGGUGCCCAAGGAUCUAUCUAGAUUGUAUCUAACACCUAAAGGGGGGUGAAUAGGUGUAAUAGCCAAAAACCACAAAUCUCAAUGCGAUAAAAAUAAAUGCAGAAAAUAAAAAUCACAUCGAGAUUUACGUGGAAAAACUCCAACUUGGAGAAAAACCCACGGGACCAACACGCGAAAAAAUAAUUCACUAAGAGAAAAGAUUACAAGGUGAUUACCGACUCCACGGACUCGACCUCUCUUAACCUCGUACGAAUCUCGCGCAAUCCUCUGGGUUGUCCACGCCCUCACGUUCGAAUCCACGAACGCCUCGCACACGUCCGAAUCCACGAACGCCACUCGAAUCCACGAGCCCACGAUCCGAAUCCACGAACCACCUUCAAUCACGCCGAAUCCACGAUGCCAUCCAUGAAAAACAUCAUGCUAUGGUGAUCUUUCGCUUAGAAUGUUGAUGAAGAACCAGAGACCAAACUCUAAGCGAAGUCUUAGAUCCAUUCGACAUUAAGAUCUCGAAUUACGAUAUCUCAAAUUGACCUAAAAGAGGUUAUUUUGUAGAAAAUAGGUUUUGGACAAAAUCCUAGCCUCUAGGGUUUCUCAAACAUGUAUUCUCAUUAUGCUCAAGCUAUUAGAGAACCCCAAUAGUUUAUUUAUAGACUUUAGAAUCAAUUAGAGUCGGAUUUGAAAGCUUUAAACUGUUACCGGUUACACGAUGACAGAAGAGAAAAUCUGUGAAACGCUGUAACCGAUGACAAGUCGCUGGUUGUACCGGAACACAAUUUGUACCGGUAUACUUUCAAUGCUUUACCGGUACACUUUGCAUUUUCCAGCUUUUUGCACAGUUUCGGGUUUUGCAAAGUUUCGACGCACUUUCUAAUCCACUAAACUUUGAUUUUCUGAUUUUAAUGCCUAUAACUAAGUAUGAAUCACCAUAACAUGAAUUAAAAUCUUACCUGAGCAUCGUGAUUCACAUCAUGAGUUAUUUUUUGAUUUCUCCGAAGUUUUGGAUUCUUCAAUCUUCGACGAUACGCACCGAUCCUUCAAGACUCCGACUCAAUCCAUGAAACUUGCCAACACACAAGACUUAACAAUCUCCCCAUUUGGCAAUUUCGUGACAAAACUCACAAACUCAAAAAUUACAUCUUAAAGAAAAACGAAGUUCAAUGUCAUCACCAAAACAUCGAACCCUUCGCAUGUAGUCUAAAUACAAUUUGAAAUUCAUAAAUACAACAAAAACUCCUAAAACAGACUCUAUGACUUAGACGCAACUAGAAGUCUUGAAGUCUUGAUCUCCUGCAAAACAAAAUAUUCAAAAACAAUGUAGAGUUUAAUCAACAUUAAAUUCUUAUACCUUCUCCCCCUUUGUUCUCAAUCACUUCUCCCCCUUUGUUCAUGAAUCCAUCCUCUUCAUCCUCUGCUUUGAUCAAUACCUGUUCUUCUUAUGAUCUCCCCCUUUUUGUCAAAAAUUGCCAAAAGAAAGCAUAUAGAGAGAAAAUCACUAAAACCUGAGAAGCAGUCAUGUCAUAGUUACAGGCCUAAAACAAAUGCUAAAACAAGUAAACCAACCUAAACAUAGUCGUAGGAGAGAAAAUAAAAAACAUAAAUACUAAAACUCGAAAGAUAAAAUCACUCCGUGUCCUCCUCCUCAUCAUCAUCAUCAUCGUCUCCUGCUCCAGUUCCAGAUCCCCCAGCCUCAGGAGCACCACUGGAUGGUGGAAUGAGUGGAUGUCACGACGUAGAUCUUGUAUAGGUGGUGUAGGUAGGAUGGGUAGGAAAUAUAUCGUCAUGCCUACAUCCUAGCUUCUCCAAUAUCCUUUUCAUCCCUACCUCCAACUUUUUGCCAAGUUGCACUACUAUCUUCUUUAAGGAGUACAUCUCAUGGUGAAGUGAUUCUACAGUAAUCACUCCCCCUGAACUAGAAGAUCCCUCGUGCUCUGCACGACGUGGAGGUGCGGAACUAGAAGCUCCUCUUGAAGAUCCCUUAGUCUGCUGAUAGGUCUUCAAAGUACUCACAGACUUGGCCCAUGUCACUGCAUCAAUUGGUCCAAGGCCCACGUCGUAUUUCUCACACGACACGUCUACUCCAUUCUCCUACAAAAUCCUCGUGAUCAAUAGAGAAAAUGGAAGUAGAUCACGUCGCACCGACGACUGUAUAACAUGCACCAUCCGUUGCCACAUAAGGAAGGGAAUGUUGAUAUUCAGCCCAUCUGCCUGCUCCGGGUGACCAAGGAGAUACAAAAGCACCAGUCGAUCCCAUCGAAUCCUCUUGGUUCCAAUAGUUGGUUGCACGUUGUAGCACAUCACCAAGGACAGAAGAUGAUACUCUCGUCGCAAGUCCUUGGACUCCACAUAAGCAUGAUUCGUCCUCACUCCAUCCUUGCAGAUUGCUUGAACAAUAGUCUCCUAGUGGGACGAAGACUGAUACAACCUUGUAGUAUGGUGGAGGCCAGCAGUAUCAACGUGCAUCCUCAAGAGCUCACCAAUCGUGUGAGGAGUGACUACAACCUUCUGCUGCCGCACAUAGGUCUCAAAUAAAUAAGUCCUUGUCUCCUCAUCCUCAGCAAGCACCCUCCCGUUCAUGUAGAACUCCCGAAUGAGUUCCACACAAAAAGGAGCACGAGCAGGAAACCGUCCAACGGGCUCUAUCGGUACCCUCUGAAGCAAGCGUCCAAAUUUCGGAACCUCCUGGAUGAGUUCAUUGAAGUUAACAUAUCGCUCCGCUAUGCAUGAUCUACUCGAAAACGUCCUCUGCCGCUCCGGUAGAACAUCCGCGGCUUGCUUUGAGCGAGUCUCUCGUGCACGAGAGCCACCUCCACGUGAGGAUUCUCCAGCUAUUCCCUUUCCUUUAUCAAUUCGAGCAGUUGGCUCUUCAGCUACCUCCGGGGAGUUCGCCUGAUAAUUCGGAUCAGAACCCGGUGACUCGCCUGCAGUACGAGUCCUCUUGGAAGCCCCUCGACUGUCACUCCCCGCCCCGAAACCACUACCAAUUUGGCACGAUUCGGGCGCGCCAGGCAGACGGCCGAACGGACAGCACCUCCCCUGUCCGCCCAAGGCUCAACAACAAGAAUGUGUAUAAGAAUUUACCCAGGAAUUUUAAAUUCUAAACAUACACAUUCAACGGGGCACAAACAGUGCCAACAACAACAAGAGCAAGUGAUCCACAAGUAAAAACGAGUGAAAUAAAGAGAGUAUUUUUCUAACUAUUACAAUAGUUUUGCAUCUUUUUACAUGUAUACCCUUUUCUCAAGAUGAAUACAUUUGAUCAUCCAAAAUACAUAGCUCUCCAACCUCACCUACAUAAAACUCUCAAAUACAUAGGUGUGCUAAUACAAAAAGGAAAGCUACUAUACUACCACGAUCUCACUGCUCGGGCGCGAUGCCCUUGCCGCGGUCCUCGCUCGGUAAACCUGUACCUACCACUGGAAAUAGAGUGGGGUGAGAACUAUCUUCAAUAGUUUCCAGUGGGCUCGGCCGCCGACUCCGCCGAUCUCCCUACCAGGUCCAAGUGGGCACAAGUAACAACAAGUAGAUAAAUAGAUAAAUAUCUCAAAACAGUAAAGUCAUAAAGAAAAUCUAUGCUACUAUACCCAUAAUCAUGUAUAAUGAAUGCAUGAAUCAUAUAGUAAAGGUUUACUAUCAUGCUAACGAAUUCGAUCCAUAUUCGAAUAAUAAUGUUCAAUGACAUUGUUCACUGUUCUUUUACCCAAUCUGUAGCGAAGCCCUUGGGUUCGCCAAUAACUCACCUUUCAAUCCCAAAGUGGGGAGGGAGCUCCAAGUGCUCCCAAGACCGGGACUGUCUGCGGACCUCCAUGUGGUCCGGACCUCCAAGUAGUCCUAAUCGCCCGACACUCCGAAGUACUCGACGACAAUCCCCUCUAUGUGGGGAUAUGGAUGGCUAUACCACCCCAAAAGCAAACUGUGAGCUAGAUCUAUCCUCUCCGAGUGAGGAUGCCCUACGACUAGGGUCAACAACCCAAUCAAAUCCUCUCCAAGUGAGGAUGCUCUACAACUAGGGUCAACAACCCAAUCAAAUCCUCUCCAAGUGAGGAUGCCCUACAACUAGGGUCAAUAUCUCAAUCAAAUCAUCGACAACCUCUCCAUGUGAUGGUACUUAGGUUUACUAUGUUCUUUGUCAACAAGGCAUUUUCUAAGGGAUCCACCUAUCCCUAAGUUCUCAAACCUCUACUGUCGUUUACACUAUAUUAAUGCCACUCGUUAUUCUUUAACAUUUGGAUGCCACUCGUUUGUUCUUUAACAUUUAGACACCACUUUCUAUGUCAUCAACACCCAUUGUGUUCAUCUCAUUUCUUUAGCACUAUAGGAUCCAUGUUUCGACCCAAUCCUCACCUACCUAAAUCACCAAGCGUUCCAAGUACACUAGGUUAUCAAUUAGAAAGCAUAAGGAAUGGUACUACUAUACAAUCCUACAAUGCAAUAUGUAAGAGAUGAGAUUAAAUGAAAUCUAAGAUAUAGAAAGGAGUUCGAAAGCUUCGGGAUGGCACCCCCCCCAUCUUUUGUAGUCGAUAAUCGUUGUGGAGGUCCUAGAAGUGUUCCUCGGCACUUCAAACCACGUGUUCCCCGCCUCUUUGGGAGAAACGAAGCUAGGUCGGCCCUACUUUGCCGAUAGCUCUAAAUUCACUCGACGAAUCGCGAAAUCGACUUCGCCCCCGCUUUUUGUGACCUAAAAAUUAGGUUUACAAGGCCUCAAAUGAGAUCAAUCUCAUACUUUACUAAAAACCCCAUUUUGGAGCUUUAGGUUUGCACUUAUAGCCAACCACUCAAUCAAAACCCUAGAUUCUAGCAUUGAUCUAUUUAGAAGUAUGCUAGAGGUCCAUUUGACCUAUUUCUAAAGUCAAAAAUCCAAAACCCUAAGUUCACAAAGCUAGGGUUUGGUAGCUUACGUCUUGAACUACACCAAAGAGAAGAGGAGAGGGAGAUGAAGGUGUCCAAGGCCUUCUUCUUGAUCUCCUUCGUCUUCUCCUCCCUUUUUCUUCUUCUCCUUUUCCUUCCUCUCCUCCUUGUUCUUCUUGUUCUUCUUCUCUUUCUAGAGAGAGAGAGGGAGAGUGUAAGGUACUAGACUUCUAAAAUCAUGAAUUUAUGGUGUACAUUUGGUUGGAGAGCUAUUUGAAUGGUUCCGGUGAAGUUCGGUGAAGUUCAGGAGCAAUCGGGCGUUUCGGUGCGCGUAGGCGCGAAAACGGAACCCGAAACGCUAUGUUGGGCCAUGGGCUAAAUCCGGCAUUAGCGCAGAUGAAAAGAUGAUGAAAACAUGUUUGAAAAUAUGUUCGGAGAGUCUCGGUUUGAUUUGAAAUGAAUCGGAGGUCAAACGAACGAAAACGGGCGAAAACGGAGUGAAAACGGACGAAGCUGAAAAUUGGCUAAGUCUGGGCUGGAGGUCUCUCUGGGACCGGUCCCAGGCAGAGAGACCGGUCUCUCAGGGACCUGUCCCUCAUGCAGAGACCGGUCCUCGAACCCCGAAAAUGCCCAGUUCGGGCUGUUGCAAGAAGAGACUUGUUGAGGGGUUUUUAUGCAAUUGUUGCAUGGGUUAAGUGUAUAGAGAGAGUUAGAACCUCUCUCUCUCUCUCCUUCCCCCACCAUUUCAACCCCAACACCAUCCCUCUCUCUCUCUAAACGAAAUAAAAGAAAGGGUAGAAGAGGAAGAAAAGAAAGAAGAGAAGGAGAAGAAGAUCAAGAAGGAGAUCUUCAUCCUCUCCUUCGUCUUCGUCGUGCUUGGAGCAAACCUAGAUAGGUAAGCUUCUUAGCCUCUCAUAGUAGAUCCCUAGAUGUGUGGUUUUGAUCUCUUAAAAUAAUUUAAUUGGAAUCCCGGCAUGCUAUCUAGAUGAGUGAUACCUAAUUCAUGAAGGUAUUUGGUGGUUUUUACCGAAGUCCCAAACUAGGGCUCAAAAAUAGGGUUUUAAGAAAUAGUUGGGUUUGAUCUCAAAUAACCCUCUGUAAACCUAAUUGCUAGGUAAACAAACACGCUGGCGAAGUUGGUUCGGCAAUCCGUCGAGCCGUUACAAAGAUAUUGAAGAAACUGACGAUUUAGCUUCGUUUCCGCUUGGAGGGUCGAGGCGACGUCGUAAAAUCGUGGAAAUGGAUUUAGAGCACCGUGGCACAUAACCGAAGACCUAUAAUUUUCGGGGCUGCAAAGUGGAGCACUGUUGAAGCGCAGUUGCAAUAUCGGACCGUGCCGGAUACGAGUGCCGGGGUGGCCGAUUGCGAGUGUCGACAAGCAAUCGGAACGCGAGUUCAGGUGGGUUGUAUUUACAGAAACGACUAGGUCGCCCUUUAUGUCUAAGAAACAUACGAAUUCAUAUUGAUGCAUGUUAAUAAAAUGACAUAGCUAAUGCAUGUGGACAAUGUGAUGCAAAAUGCUAAGUAGAUGCAUGUAAGAUGAUGUAAUAUAGAAAUGCUAGAAUACAUGAUGGCAUUUCAUUAGCCCGGCUUACCCGAGCCAACCUACCCAACUCAUCUCAUUAGAAAAUAAAAAACAACCUAACCUGAAAUAUAAAUCCGUAAUCAUUUAAAAAAAAUUUCAAAACCGUAUUUAUCCUGUGAAUGUGUUUUCACAGGGUUUGAACACAGGGAUAUUGAAUUAAGAUAACAUCACAUACAAAUUCUACAUUAGAAUAUAAUUUAUCAUUCUUUUAUUUAUCUUCACGGUCGGAUAACCCUAAUUUAACUCUUCCAGGAUGUAACUAUGAUGGGUUUACCGAAUGUGUAUAUCUUUACACAAUAAUUAUAAAUAUAAGUACAUCACAGAGACCCCAAAUCACCAGCCUGAUUGCCGUCGUAGUCACCGAACAGCUGUGAAAACAUCUCACAGCCCUGCUCGGUCUCAGUAAAACCGCACUUUAUCUGCACUUUUGCCUGAGCCUCGACACUCCCAACCUCAAGCCUGUGAUUUUAUACGUUUUUAUCUUAAAACUCACAACACAUAGCUAGUACACUCCUCAUGGCCAUGGGGUCUUCCUAAUGUACUUAUCCACGAGAGCCCAAACACGUCGAACCACAAAACAUGGCCAUGGACAACCACUCAUGGCCAUGACCCUGACCCAUAGCUAUGAUGUAGCCCGGUCAUGACCAUGUGGCGUGAGCCCAAACGAGCUCCUCACAGCCCAUGGCCAUGGAUUCAACUCAUGACCAUGAGGUCCGCCGUUUCACUCAACCAUUCCCCAGAAAACCAAUAAAACGACAGCUAUUUAGGAUUGGAUAGGGGUCAGUUAGAGAAACACAAUCUUCGAACCUCUUUUGUCCAUCGAAGAUGAGAAAAGAGAGAGAUCGAAGAGAAGAGUGAAAGAAACACUUAAACCCUUAGCUAGACUAAAAGCAAAAGGGAGAUCCAAUUACAAACUAUCACAUUCCACCAGCAUUACGGGAGCAUGGAGAAGCGACUAGUGAAGAUCCCGUAAAGCUCUGAGCCCCUGUUGAAACAAACCGCUCUGCUCCGAGAUGCGCUGCCAAGCCACCCAAACUGGAUCGGUGUGUUACUAUUUAAGAGUAAACACGAAUUAAUUCAUAACAAUUUACCUUUUCGUACGUAUAAGAAUAACAUAUAUAAAUAACACUUAAAAUCUUACGAAUUUUCCAGAUACAACAUAUACUACUUUAAAACCUGGAGAUACCUCAUCUCUCAUUGAACCAUCCGGAUACCAACGUAAAUCGCAAGUUAAACUCUGAACCAAAGUACGAAGAUAUCACAUUUACUCGAAACUAGGUACGUAAAUUUGAAUUCAAAUAAACUUUGUACUUUCUACUGUUUAACGGUAUAUCUCCAUAACUUGAUCUUACAUACACUUGAUCUCUCGAUUACAGUAGUUCGCCAUAACUCGAGCCCUGUACACACUUGGAUCACCUAUCCCGGUAACUCCUUACACUUUGUACGAAUUAAUAAUUACAGAUUCACAGUAUUUCCCCGUGAUCUGGAUCUCUUCCAACCCUGAAGUGAACACUGAAUCUUGAUCUAGAAGCUCUACGAUCACCUAUAUGGUACAAUCUCUGUACUCCCAACCUAUGAACUCGGUAGCUGUUGCGAACAAACGGUAAACACGAGUAAGCGUGUACGAACACUCCCAGCGAGGGAUGUUCGGCCGUGAGGCCUCAAUCGGAUGCACUGGAUACAAGCGAGCACGCCAUAACUCUUCGGAUGCCCCAGCUCACCCUGUCUGUGUAAGGUUCUCAUCCCUACAACCCGAUGGUGUCCGUGAAUCCGCCGUGUUCGACCUGAUGGAACCCUCCAGGAAUUUAACCUUUACCUUUAGCUGUGCCACAACUUAUACUUGUUAGUGAUGAUCUAUCCUAAUCAUCAACCUAAUGAACCUGUGCGAAUACUAUAUCGUAACCAUGUAAAUCAUAUGAACGGCCAAAGUAAUAACGUAGCAUCAUAUGAGCCAACAAACCUAUCUCAAAUGGGAAUACGUAACUGUAUAACGUAGCACGCCAAAUGAACAAAUAAUACAACUCUGUAUAAUCAUACGUAGCCUAUAUAAUGGAAUACUAUCGCAUCUACAUGUAGUGGUACUGUAGUACGAAUAACCUCUGUAUCAUCAUAUCGUAAAGUAAGUACGAAAGAAAGUCGUCAAAAGUACAAGCGAUAAAUAACGUAUAAUGAUAUACAGCAAUAAAUGGGAAAAGAAAACCCCGGAUCACCACGUAACUCGACUCCAGUCAUUAACGGGUGACCCUUGAUAUUUAAUAUCAAGAGUGCGGGAGAAGAAGAGCUACAAAAAGUCUCGGAAGGUGCGUCCCACUCCGGUCCCUGGCGCCCUUCCCUCAACGAAGCUCGAUCGAAGGAAGCUCCUGCUGAACGAUCCACCAGGUGGAGAGCUACAUAUAAAGAAAACGCUCUCCAACUCCUCAAAUGGUUACAUGAUCUCUGGUGGUAAAAACAUAAUCUCUGUCUAUAACAUGAUGAAUACUGAGGAAAAUAACAAAUCGAAAUGAAGACAUGAAACCACAUCUACAAUCUAGAUAUGAGCGAGACUAUAGUAAUCAACGAUCAAUAAAGUGGAGAAGAUAAACAGGAUGAUAAACGAAAAUGAAGGCGAAAAAAAGAUCUGCGGAAUAUACACAUCUGUAUACCGCCCAGACCCGUGCGAUGGCCCUCCCGGAGGCGACCAGGGCCCCGCACUGUUGCAAUUAUACGNNNNNNNNNNNNNNNNNNNNNNNNNUGGAUUCCGGAAUCCCGAGACUUGUGAACUCAAUAGUUCUUGGACCGCGGGUGUAUGUGGCAUGUUCCUCUCCCACCGGAAGAACUUUGAGGAUUGUGACUGAGCAAGAACAAAAAGCGCUAGGGUGUAUGCGGUAUGUUCCUCUCCCUAUCGGGGAUCUUGGCUAUUGGUGUAUACGGCAUGUUCCUCUCCCACUGGCGGAUCCCUGACCACGGUGCACGGACCUUCGGGCGGACCGUUGGGCGAUUUAGUUCUUGGCUUGCAGGCUGAGGUGCAUGUGACAGGGUCCUUCACCUCGAGCCGGGCAGAGCACGGAUUAUCCGCAGUUGAUUGACUCGAGACCGAGUCGGGUGGCUAGCUGGAAUAAGGUAGAUAGAACCUUGAGGGCUAGUGGUAAAUGUGUUUAACCUAAGGUGAUAGAGACCUUAGAGUUGGAUGAUAUGAACUAGAGUUAGCGAGAGUGAAUGUAGAACCAAUAAUUCUACUAGUGGUUGCAUAUAUUCAUGUUGCAUAUAGCAUGGCAUCAUUGCAGUUGUGAGGCAAAGCAAGGUAAAGUUAGUUGCAUGUUUAUGAUAUACAUAUCUAUCUGUUUAUUGGACUAACUUGUAUUUGCCUCCCUUGGACCUGUUGGUCGAGCUCCUCCCCUGGGAACCAUGGAGUUGGUUCUCACCCCACAUUGUUUUGGGGUGUUGCAGGUCCGUACGUGAGCGGUGCGGCGGUGCGAGGCAAGGGCGUAGCUCCAUAGAUAGCGCCCUACCCCAGAGACUAGAGAUAGAGACCAGAGAUAGCGGUACCCCAAGUCGGCAUUGCUUAGGGGUAUAGGAAAGGGAAAGGAACACAAUGUAUCAAAUUUGUAAUAUUAAUUGUAAUAACUUAAUUGCAUUUGGAAGUUGAAUGUGAUGUAAAAAUGAAUCUAAUGUGAAUGUAUGUAAUAACAUAGGAUGUGUUAUAUUGUUGAUACCUUUUCAUUUGCAAUCUAUGAUUGAAUACUGUUCCUGGUUGGAACCACUUAUAUUGUUUUGAUUGCGACGCCUAGGACGUAUAGGGGAAACUCUGUCCGUUCGGCGGUCUGUCGGCGUGCCCGAACCCGACCAAAUAGGCGGGGCGCGGGGCGUGACAGAGAGAAUAUGAGAGGGAGUGAGAGAGUGAGGGAAUGAGAAUGAGAGAGAGGAGAGAGCUCAUCCUCUCUAUAGCCCUCUCUAAUGUAACAAAAUCCACUUUAGCCCCUUAACUUCCACCUCUAUACACUGCCUUUACUGGGCAGAAUUCGUGCGGAGGGACAGGUCUCCGCGACUUGGGACCGGUCCCCGAGAGCAGCCCAUGCUGCUGGGGCCCUUCUCGCAUUCGGGAACCGGUCUCUCCCCGGGAGACCAGUCCUCGGGAGACCGGUCCUCGCCUGAGAGACCGGUCCCCGAGAGCUCGAUUUUCAGGACUUAGCCGAUUUUGGCCUUCUCUCGCUGGCGUCGCACAUGGGGACCGGUCCCCUCAGCCAGGGACCGGUUGCAUCAAAGAUCCCCAGCAACCACCAGCCUCGGGGACCAGUCUCUCCCUACCAGGGACCGGUCCCCGAGAGCAACUUCAGCCCAGUGCAGGUUUUGCACUAUAUGCUCUCGCGGACUCAACUCCAAUACACUUUUUGUGUUUUGGAUAACUUUAGCUUUCCCGAAGGAUACUCACUCGACAAUUAGUCGAUCCGGGAUGAAGUACAACUCUCGGAUUUCGAGAAUUCACUUCCUUACAUCGACGACCUCUACCGCCACCACGACCACGUCCAGUGACCAUCAGCACCAAAAGUAUCAAUACGAGCGAGAACGCCAUUUUUCCUACAAAAAAAUGAGCCUUGCAUGAACAAAUUUUCAAUAAAAAUCUGUAAAAAUAGUGAAAAUUUUUCUAAUAAUAUUAGAAUGCAUAACACCACUAUUUCUAACUAAAUCAUACAAAAUUUUCAUCAAAAAUUGAUUUUCAUCAAAAAUUUUUAAAUUCCACAUACAUGGAGGUACAGAUCACAGAUCAACAAAAAAUAUAGCAUUAUACCCUGAUCUAAGUGUUCUAGAAGCAAGAAUAUAUGUCUAAACACUGAUUCACAGCAAAAAAAUGGCAUAAAAAAUUAUCAAAAACAGAAAUCAUGCUUCAACUCGGAAUUUUUCCGAAAAAUUACAAGAACGCAAGCAAAUGAUUAAAUCUGAGGAAGAUACUCACAAAUCUUUGGAGAAAACGAGUGGAUCUGGAGGAGAAGGUCACCUGGGAUUUUUUGAGAGAGAAAAAGAGAAUUUUGGUUUUGAUUUGGGUGAGAAACGAAAUCCCGUAACCGGUUAUAAAACACGGUCUAUAGUUAUUUUGUACCGGUACACGGUAUUUUGUACCGGUACACUUUCCCAGAUUUCGAAAAUUGUGAAUUUUUUCCUCAAAACUCAUUCAAAAUCAAAUUAAUUUCAUAAGAAUUUAAAAGUUGUACUCCAAAAAUCAUUAUGAUGAAAAUAAAUUAUUAUAAGAUUUCAAAUUACACCGAAUCAUCAAAAUUUGUUAUCGAAAAUAAUCUAAUGAUUAAUCCUAUAAAGAUAAAGUUGGAUUUUUGGAGCAUCAAUUUGAGGAAUCGCACAACUCCAAUCAAUCCUUGACCGAUCAAGUUCGUCAACUCCAAUCCGAUAUUCAAAAGUUUUCUUCGGGAUCAAAAAAAUUGGAUCAUAUGCUUGGAUUGGGUCAAACGAACAAACUUGGCCUCGGAUAUGAAAGAACGUAUGUUGAGAAGGAUCAAAAGUCAACAUCUAAAGUCUCAACAACUUUAACCGAAAAGGUGUGUCAUAGAUGUGGCAUCAAAGGACACAUCAAAAAGGGUUGCUCGAACAAGACUAAGAAGAAUCAAUCGGCAACUUCAAAACAUCAAGUGGCACCCUCUACUACUCGACUUCCCCUACGGAAUUCAAAGAAAAAUCAAUUGAGUCGAGCACCUCGAGGGAAUCGGUUUUCCAAUGCUCAACAUCAAGUCCAACCGAACCAACAAGCAAGCCGAAAUUAUAAGCCGCAACGUCAAUUCCAAUCGAAACCUCAAGCGAAUCGGGCUUCUAAAUCACAACGGCAAUUCCAAUCGGAGCUUCAAGCAAUGAAACGAUCAAUGGUUGAUCCAAAAUCAAAACAAGGUGUACCUAACGUCGACAAGCCAAGACAACCAACAAUCCGACAAGUGUGGAUCUGGAAAGGUGAUAUCUUACCUUGCUCCUUGUCUUAGUUUGUUUUAUUGAUAAUGUAAUGCUUUGUUUGGUGCUUAUUGCAUAUUUGUAUUCAUUGCAUUACAUGUUUGGACGAUUUUUUGUACUUGAAUUUUAUGUGUCUUUAAAAUCUUUUGAGGAAAGGUGAUAGGGAAUUAAAAAUUUCUUUGAGAAAAGAGAUGAUUGAAAAUCAUUAUUUUGGGGGAGAUUAAAUUCUUUUCAAAGUGUUUUAAACGGUAUUUUCAUAUUUAUAUUAAAUUAAAUUCAUAUUAAUUAUCGGUUUUACUCCACUUUUUAUUAUUUUGACGAUAAUUGAUUAUAUGAAUUCUUAAUACAUAUAUUCAUCAAAAUUUUGAAAUCAAUUUUGAUCUCUUGGUGAUUAAUUCAUCUUGGUUGUGAGUGUUGAAUAUGAUAGAUGGGUAUUCGCUAAUAGACCAAAAUUUGUCAAAAUUAUUUUCAAUUGUGAGAUUGUCUAAUUUAGGAGGAGUUUGGAUAUUUAAAAAAAAAAAGAAAAAAUAAACUCCUAUGUUUAAAAGAUGUGGAAAGAGUUACAUCCAAAAAGAGUGUGAAAACUACGUACCACCACAUGUAGGAAAGAGCUACUACCCCGGUCGUCCGACAAGUGUGUGAAGCUACCACAUGGAAAUUAAUUGAAUAAGCGAAAAGGUUGAAUAAAAUAAAUAUAUUAGAAUUUUCGGAGGUAUAAGGUGGUAGGAUGAAAAGAUGCUCAAAGAGUCACCCCCGGUGCCAUAUUAGUUAAAUCUCUAUUUUGAACGAGCCGCUUCAUCAAGCUGCUCUUGGAGGACCGAAUUAUUCUUCAAAAUUGAUUCCCUUUCCUCCUCAAGGCUUUAUUCAUUGUCUUCAAGUUGUUGUUUUCCUCUUCGAGAUCCAACAAAUGACGCCUCAACUUCUUAUUAAGUUUUGCCAUCUUCUUUGAUUCAAUAAGGAGUUAAUUAUACGCUUCCGCUAUAUCCUCGUCGUUUGAUUUCUCCUCAUUUUCGCCGUUGUCGCUCGAAGACCCAUGCAAGGAAGAAACAUUGGAAUUAGAAAUAAUAGAAGAUAAGCAAACAACAUUAGACGAAGGCAAAGAACUGUUAGUAAACAAAGCAAGUUCAUUCUUUCCUUCGUCACUUGAACUUCAUUCACUAGAAGUUGAAUGAUCCCAAGUCUUUGCUUGCAAAGCCUUUUGUCUAUAUAUUGUUUUUAAAGGACAAUCUGUUGCUGUCACGCCUCGCCCCGAAACCACUACCAAUUUGGCACUAUUCGGGCGUGCCGGGCGGACCGCUGAACGGACAGCACCUCCCCUGUCCGCCCAAGGCUCAACAAUAGGAAUGUGCACAAGAAUUUACCCAGGAGGCCAGGAAUUUCAAAUUCUAAACAUACAUAUUCAACGGGGCACAAACAGUGCCAACAACAACAAGAGCAAGUGAUCCACAAAUAACAACGAGUAAAAUAAAGAGAGUACUUUACUAACUAUUACAAUAGUUUUGCAUUUUUUAUAUAUACAUCCUUUCCUCAAAAUGAAUACAUAUGUUCAUUCAAAAUACAUAGCUUUCCAAAUCCUCACCUACAUGAAUCUCUCUCAAUACAUAGGUGUGCUAAUGCAAAAAGGAAAGCUACUAUACUACCACGGUCUCACUGAUAGGGCGCGAUGCCCUUGCCGCGGUCCUCGCUCGGUAAACCUGUACCUACCACUGGAAAUAGAGUGGGGUGAGAACUAUCUUCCAUAGUUCCUAGUGGGCUCGGCCGCCGACUCCGCCGAUCUCCCCACUAGGUCCAAGUGGGCACAAGUAAUAACAAGUAGAUAGAUAGAUAGAUAUCUCAAAGCAAUAAAGGCAUAAAGGAAAUCUAUGCUACUGUGCCCAUAAUCAUGUAUAAUGAAUGCAUGCAUCAUAUAGUAAAGGAUUACUAUCAUGCUAACGAAUUCUAUCCGUGUUCGAAUAAUAAUGUUCAAUGACAUUGUUCACUGUUCUUUUACCCAAUCUAUAGCGAAGCCCUAGGGUUCGCCAAUAACUUACCUUUCAAUCCCAAAGUGGGGAAUGAGCUCCAAGUGCUCCCAAGCCCGGGACCAUCUGCGGACCUCCAUGUGGUCCGGACCUCCAAGUGGUCCUAAUCGCCGACACUCCGGAGUACUCGACGACAAUCCCCUCCAUGUGGGGAUACGGAUGGCUAUACCACCCCAAAAGCAGACUGUGAGCUAGAUCUAUCCUCUCCGAGUGAGGAUGCCCUACAACUAAGGUCAACAACCCAAUCAAAUCAUCGACAACCUCUCCAUGUAAGGGUACUUAGGUUUACUAAGUUCUUUGCCCACAAGGCAUUUUCUAAGGGAUCCACCUAUCCCUAGGUUCUCAAACCUCUAGUGUCAUUUACACUACAUUAAUGCCACUCGUUAUUCUUUAACAUUUGGAUGCCACUCAUUUGUUCUUUAAUAUUUAGAUACCACUUUCUAUGUCAUCAACACCCAUCGUGUUCAUCUCAUUUCUUUAGCACUAUAGAAUCCAUUUUCCGACCCAAUCCUCACCUAUCUAAAUCACCGAGCAUUCCAAGUACACUAGAUUAUCAAUUAGAAAGCAUAAGGAAUGGUACUACUAUGCAAUCCUAUAAUGCAAUAUGUAAGAGAUGAGAUUAAAUGCAAUCUAAGACAUAGAAAGGAGUUUGAAAGCUUCGGGAUGGCACCCCCCACCUUUUACCGAUGUAGAGGCUUUAGAAAUGUUCCUCGGCGAACUUUACGAAAAGGCUUUAGCCUUCCUUGGUCCAAGAUAAAGCUAAAUCGGUCGUAUUUUGCCGAUAGCUCCAAAUUCACUCGACGAAUCGCGAAAUCGACUUCGCCCCCGCGUUUUGUGACCUAAAAAUUAGGUUUACAAGGCGUCAAAUGAGAUCAAUCUCAUACUUUACUAAAAACCCUAUUUUGGAGCUUUAGGUUUGCACCUAUAGCCAACCACUCAAUUAAAACCCUAUAUUCUAGCACUGAUCUAUUUAGAAGCAUGCUAGAAGUCCAUUUGACCCAUUUCCAAAGUCAAAAACCCAAAAACCCAAAGUUCACAAAGCUAGGGUUUGGUAGCUUACCUCUUGAGCUACACCAAAAGAAGAUGAGAGGGAGAUGAAGGUGUCCAAGGCCUUCCUCUUGAUCUCCUCCUUCUUCUCCUCCCUUUUUCUUCUUCUCCUUUUCCUUCCUCUCUUCCUUGUUCUUCUUGUUCUUCUUCUCUUUCUAGAGAGAGAGAGGGAGAGAAUAUGAGAGGGAGUGAGAGAGUGAGGGAAUGAGAGAGGGAGAGAGAAAUUUCCCAUGUAUACCCCUCAUCUAAUGGCCAUUUUGCACUUAAACCCCUCCACUUUUCCAUCCUUGCACAGCCCUCACUGGGCUGUUUUCGCGCGGAGGGACCGGUCUCCCCGACUUGGGACCGGUCCCCGAGAGCAGCCCAUGCUGCCAGGGGCCCUUCUCACGUUCGGGAACCGGUCUCUCCCCGGGAGACCGGUUCCUCUCGAAGAGACCGAUUCCCAAGAGCCCGAUUUUCAGGACUUAGCCAAUUUUUGGCGUUUCUCGCUGGUGGCGCGCCGGGGGACCGGUUUCAUCAAUCCAGGGACCGGUUGCAUCAAGAUCCCCCGCAGCCACUAGUCUCGGGGACCGGUCUCUCCCUGCCAGGGACCGGUCCCCGAGAGCAAAAAUCUGCUCAGUGUAGAUUUUCAUUCCUUAGCUCUCGUGGACUCUCUUUCAAGGCACUUUUUGUGUUUUGGACAUCUUUAACUUCCCCAAAGGGUAUUCUCUCGACAAAUAGUCAAUCCUGGACGAAGUACAACUCUCGAAUUUCGAGAAUUCACUUCCUUACAGUUGCAAUAUGGCCGUUCCCUUUACAUUUGUAGCAUUGGAUUUCCCCUUCAAAUUCAUCUUUUUCUUUUGAAGACUUUGCAAGUUUCUUAUCUUUAGAUUUAGAAGAUAAAGAUGAUUUAGAAAAGGAUUGUUUCUUAGACGAUGAAGCCUUGUCCAAUUUAUUCUUCCGAAAAUUCCGACGAAACUUCUUCGUGAGGAAGGCUAAUUGAUGUUCGAAAUCAGCAAGCGAAACAUCUCCGUCGGAAUCUGAAUCUUCGUCUUUUUUCUUUGUCGAUUUGAGUGCAACCCAUGUACUUUUAGAAGAAGACUUGGCAAAAGAUUAAUUAGUAGGAAAAGUCAUUUCAUAAGUUUGCAAAGCGCGCACCUACUAAUUUUUCGAUUUGAGUGCAACCCCUGUACUUUUAGAAGAAGACUUGGCAAAAGAUUGAUUAGUAGGAAAAGUCAUUUCAUAAGUUUGCAAAGCACCUACUAAUUUUUCGACUUUCAUCUCGUCCGGAUGCUUAACGGUUUCGAUCGCGGCAACCUUUGCCCGAAAGCGUUCCGGAAGAGUCCGAAGUAUUUUUCUUACAACCUUUGAAUCCAGGAUUUUUGCUCCCAAGUUCGCGCAUGUAUUAACAACAUCUUGAAGUCGCGUAUAGUACUCGGUAAAGGUCUCAUUUUCUUUCAUAAAAAUUGAGUCAAAUUUGCUCGUUAACAUUUGUAAUUUUUGGACCUUUACUAAGCUAGUUCCUUCAUGCGUAACUUGUAGAGUAUCUCAAAUCUCUUUGGCGGUAUUACACGCCAAAACGAGAGUGAACUCCGUUUGAGACAAUGCAUUAAAUAAAGCGUUUAUGCCCUUGCCGUUAAACGAAGAUGACUCGUUCUCUCAUCUUUUGUCCACUUGUUCCGCAGUUUAGGAACGGUAGCAUUAUCGACAACUUCGGUAGGAUGUUUUCAUCCGAAUUCGAUAGCUUUCUACACCCGCUCAUCGAUUGCGAUUAGAAAAGCUCUCAUGCGAACCUUCCAAUAGGCAUAAUUUGUGCCAUCGAAGAGUGGUGGUCGAUUAAUGUUACCGCCUUCGGCCAUUAGAUAGCAAUAUAUCUAGAUCACGCUCUUAUACCAAUUGAAAGUUUUGGGGUACCCAAAGAUCUAUCUAGAUUGUAUCUAACACCUAGCGGGGGGUGAAUAGGUGUAAUAGCCAAAAACCAUAAAUCUCAAUGCGAUAAAAAUAAAUGCGAAAAAUAAAAAUCACAUCGAGAUUUACGUGGGAAAACUCCAACUUGGAGAAAAAAUCACGGGACCAACACGCGAAAAAAUAAUUCACUAAGAGAAAAGAUUAUAAGGUGAUUACCGACUCCACGGACUCGGCCUCCCUUAACCUCUUACGAAUCUCGCGCAAUCCUCCGGAUUGUCCACGCCCUCACGUUCGAAUCCACGAAUGCCUCGCACACGUCCGAAUCCACGAACGCCACUCGAAUCCACGAGCCCACGAUCCGAAUCCACGAACUGCCUUCAAUCACGCCGAAUCCACGACGCCAUCCAUGAAAAACAUCAUGCUAU
rnacentral:lncRNA from 1 species